rnacentral:rRNA from 1 species
GGGUUGUGAGGUUAAGCGACUAAGCGUACACGGUGGAUGCCCUGGCAGUCAGAGGCGAUGAAGGACGUGCUAAUCUGCGAUAAGCGUCGGUAAGGUGAUAUGAACCGUUAUAACCGGCGAUUUCCGAAUGGGGAAACCCAGUGUGUUUCGACACACUAUCAUUAACUGAAUCCAUAGGUUAAUGAGGCGAACCGGGGGAACUGAAACAUCUAAGUACCCCGAGGAAAAGAAAUCAACCGAGAUUCCCCAGUAGCGGCGAGCGAACGGGGAGGAGCCCAGAGCCUGAAUCAGUGUGUGUGUUAGUGGAAGCGUCUGGAAAGGCGCGCGAUACAGGGUGACAGCCCCGUACACAAAAAUGCACAUACUGUGAGCUCGAUGAGUAGGGCGGGACACGUGGUAUCCUGUCUGAAUAUGGGGGGACCAUCCUCCAAGGCUAAAUACUCCUGACUGACCGAUAGUGAACCAGUACCGUGAGGGAAAGGCGAAAAGAACCCCGGCGAGGGGAGUGAAAAAGAACCUGAAACCGUGUACGUACAAGCAGUGGGAGCCUCUUUUAUGGGGUGACUGCGUACCUUUUGUAUAAUGGGUCAGCGACUUAUAUUCUGUAGCAAGGUUAACCGAAUAGGGGAGCCGAAGGGAAACCGAGUCUUAACUGGGCGUUAAGUUGCAGGGUAUAGACCCGAAACCCGGUGAUCUAGCCAUGGGCAGGUUGAAGGUUGGGUAACACUAACUGGAGGACCGAACCGACUAAUGUUGAAAAAUUAGCGGAUGACUUGUGGCUGGGGGUGAAAGGCCAAUCAAACCGGGAGAUAGCUGGUUCUCCCCGAAAGCUAUUUAGGUAGCGCCUCGUGAAUUCAUCUCCGGGGGUAGAGCACUGUUUCGGCAAGGGGUCAUCCCGACUUACCAACCCGAUGCAAACUGCGAAUACCGGAGAAUGUUAUCACGGGAGACACACGGCGGGUGCUAACGUCCGUCGUGAAGAGGGAAACAACCCAGACCGCCAGCUAAGGUCCCAAAGUCAUGGUUAAGUGGGAAACGAUGUGGGAAGGCCCAGACAGCCAGGAUGUUGGCUUAGAAGCAGCCAUCAUUUAAAGAAAGCGUAAUAGCUCACUGGUCGAGUCGGCCUGCGCGGAAGAUGUAACGGGGCUAAACCAUGCACCGAAGCUGCGGCAGCGACGCUUAUGCGUUGUUGGGUAGGGGAGCGUUCUGUAAGCCUGUGAAGGUGUACUGUGAGGUAUGCUGGAGGUAUCAGAAGUGCGAAUGCUGACAUAAGUAACGAUAAAGCGGGUGAAAAGCCCGCUCGCCGGAAGACCAAGGGUUCCUGUCCAACGUUAAUCGGGGCAGGGUGAGUCGACCCCUAAGGCGAGGCCGAAAGGCGUAGUCGAUGGGAAACAGGUUAAUAUUCCUGUACUUGGUGUUACUGCGAAGGGGGGACGGAGAAGGCUAUGUUGGCCGGGCGACGGUUGUCCCGGUUUAAGCGUGUAGGCUGGUUUUCCAGGCAAAUCCGGAAAAUCAAGGCUGAGGCGUGAUGACGAGGCACUACGGUGCUGAAGCAACAAAUGCCCUGCUUCCAGGAAAAGCCUCUAAGCAUCAGGUAACAUCAAAUCGUACCCCAAACCGACACAGGUGGUCAGGUAGAGAAUACCAAGGCGCUUGAGAGAACUCGGGUGAAGGAACUAGGCAAAAUGGUGCCGUAACUUCGGGAGAAGGCACGCUGAUAUGUAGGUGAAGCGACUUGCUCGUGGAGCUGAAAUCAGUCGAAGAUACCAGCUGGCUGCAACUGUUUAUUAAAAACACAGCACUGUGCAAACACGAAAGUGGACGUAUACGGUGUGACGCCUGCCCGGUGCCGGAAGGUUAAUUGAUGGGGUUAGCGGUAACGCGAAGCUCUUGAUCGAAGCCCCGGUAAACGGCGGCCGUAACUAUAACGGUCCUAAGGUAGCGAAAUUCCUUGUCGGGUAAGUUCCGACCUGCACGAAUGGCGUAAUGAUGGCCAGGCUGUCUCCACCCGAGACUCAGUGAAAUUGAACUCGCUGUGAAGAUGCAGUGUACCCGCGGCAAGACGGAAAGACCCCGUGAACCUUUACUAUAGCUUGACACUGAACAUUGAGCCUUGAUGUGUAGGAUAGGUGGGAGGCUUUGAAGUGUGGACGCCAGUCUGCAUGGAGCCGGCCUUGAAAUACCACCCUUUAAUGUUUGAUGUUCUAACGUUGGCCCCUGAUCGGGGUUGCGGACAGUGUCUGGUGGGUAGUUUGACUGGGGCGGUCUCCUCCUAAAGAGUAACGGAGGAGCACGAAGGUUGGCUAAUCCUGGUCGGACAUCAGGAGGUUAGUGCAAUGGCAUAAGCCAGCUUGACUGCGAGCGUGACGGCGCGAGCAGGUGCGAAAGCAGGUCAUAGUGAUCCGGUGGUUCUGAAUGGAAGGGCCAUCGCUCAACGGAUAAAAGGUACUCCGGGGAUAACAGGCUGAUACCGCCCAAGAGUUCAUAUCGACGGCGGUGUUUGGCACCUCGAUGUCGGCUCAUCACAUCCUGGGGCUGAAGUAGGUCCCAAGGGUAUGGCUGUUCGCCAUUUAAAGUGGUACGCGAGCUGGGUUUAGAACGUCGUGAGACAGUUCGGUCCCUAUCUGCCGUGGGCGCUGGAGAACUGAGGGGGGCUGCUCCUAGUACGAGAGGACCGGAGUGGACGCAUCACUGGUGUUCGGGUUGUCAUGCCAAUGGCACUGCCCGGUAGCUAAAUGCGGAAGAGAUAAGUGCUGAAAGCAUCUAAGCACGAAACUUGCCCCGAGAUGAGUUCUCCCUGAGACUUUAAGUCUCCUGAAGGAACGUUGAAGACGACGACGUUGAUAGGCCGGGUGUGUAAGCGCAGCGAUGCGUUGAGCUAACCGGUACUAAUGAACCGUGAGGCUUAACCUUACAACGCCGAAGGUGUUU